rnacentral:rRNA from 1 species
UUAAAUUGAAGAGUUUGAUCAUGGCUCAGAUUGAACGCUGGCGGCAGGCCUAACACAUGCAAGUCGAACGGUAACAGGAAACAGCUUGCUGUUUCGCUGACGAGUGGCGGACGGGUGAGUAAUGUCUGGGAAACU